rnacentral:lncRNA from 1 species
GGGAGUUCUGAAUCCUUUUCCGGCUCUGUCGUGUCUCUACGCUCCUCACUUUUUCCUAGAGUGGCAAAUUUUAUCACAAGUGCGCUGCGACUUUUCCUCUCACUUAUGCUAGCACUCCAGGAAUCAGGGGUUAUACCGAUUUUUAAAAAUUUAUUAUUUUUCAAAGACUUUAAAUUUUUAAAAUUUUAUCCUUAGAAGUGUUUAGCUUGCAUAUUCGUCUGUCUGUGCACCACGCAUACGCCAUGGAAGUCAGGAGAAGGCGUCAGAUCCCCUGGAACUAGAGUUACCGGCAAUUAAUUGUGAGCCGCCAAAUAGGUGCUGAGACCCGAACCUGAGUCUUCAUCAAGAGCAUUAUGUUCUCUUCACAGCUGAGCUAUCUCUCCAGCACAGCCUUAUGUUUCUGUUUGUUGUUGAGGUUUGUAUUUUAUGACAGGGUUUUGCAGUGGGGUCCAGGCUGAGCUGGAACUCGGGAUCUCCUAUGGUACACUUCGCUUUUCUAUUUCUCCUUCCUUUUCCUUUUCCGCUCAAAGAGCUCCCUCCUUUACAGCGAAGAACAGGCAUCUCACUGCUUCUGCUCUCUACCCCUGGCCUCUUACUGGAAAUCUUCACUCACCCAAAUGUUGUCGCAGCUGCUCCCAGGCCACUGCUGGUUUGCAGUUGUUUCUGCCUCUGUUCCUCCUCUUCAGGUCAUGAAUUCAGCCCACCCUACUGAUAAAGAUCACAUCAGUCGAGCAACAACUGUUGCAGAAGGCCCAGUGUUAAUGUUGCACCACCAGGAGGCAGCACAGGAGCGACCGGUCUCCAGAAGAAGCGUCCUAAUAGCCAGAACUUACAGCCUUCCGUGCAACUGAAAGAUCAUUUGCACUAACCGCUGACUUUUUGUUGGGUUACCAGGGGAAAUGGUUUCCCUCUGGCCUUGGUGAAGUGGCUGCCAAGGAUUAUAGAGGCUUCUGAUGGCAAAAAGUCCAUGUUAAACUCUUGGGGAUAGUCAGGGCCAGGAUAGUGCCUCCUAGAGCAGGAGUUGUCUUUUAGCAUUAAGUGGUGGUCCAUGCAGUAUAGCUUCCUGGAGGUGUCUGUGGAGCAUUCAAGAGCUGCCAGGCUGCCAUGACAGUAGACCAGCUGGCUGCCAAGAGGGGUUUGCUUGGAUGGUAGUCAUUCAAGGCAGCCAAGUGCCAGGGAAGGGCUGGAUGGUUGCCAGGGUGACAAAUCACCCUAGCAUCCAGCACUGGUUUUUGUUUUGUUUUAGACAAAAUAAGCAUUAAAGGGGAUUCUUACAAGCCUGUAAGACACUGAAAUGUUUUAGUGCUUACACAUUGUGUGUGUAUGUGUUCACGAGUGUGUGUGUGCCCACACACAUGCAGGUAUGCAGAGAAUGGAGGAGGAUGUACGGUGUUCUGCUCUAUCACCCUCUCUCUUAUUCUCUUGAUUUAGGAUCCUCACUGAACCCGGAGCUAGGCUGGUGGCCAGAAAGUCCCCUGUCUCACCACUACCACCCCAGCCCUGGUGUUACAGACACACAGGUGACCACUUCAAUUUUUUAAGACAGGCAUUAGGAUUUGAACUCAAGUCCUCAUGCUUGCUCAGCGCAAGAUUUCUUACUUGCUGAGAUACCUCCCAAGCUCCUAGGAUUUCUUAAAAAAUUAAUUUAAAUUCUUUCUUUCAUUCUUUUUUUUUUGUUUGUUUGUUUGUUUGUUUGAGACAGGGUUUCUCUGUGUAUCCCUGGCUGUCCUGGAACUCACUCUGUAGACCAGGCUGGCCCCAAACUCAGAAAUCCGCCUGCCUCUGCCUCUCAAGUGCUGAGAUAAAAGGCGUGCACCACCACUGCCUGGCUAUUUUUAUUAUUAUUAUUAUUUAUUUAAAAAGUUCAAUAAGGUCUGAACUUGGCAAGUACUAUGUAAGAGUCAGCUAGGAAGUACUAGUUGUGAAGGUAUGAGAGGGGUCGUGGAGAGCAGCUGAGAUUUGGUAACAUAUGGCGGUGUUAGAGUCCCUGUGGAGAGGUCACUCGUGAAGGUGUGGCCUCAAUUACAAAGGAGGUCCCAGGUUACUGCAGAUGCCAAGACUGCUGAAUGUCCACCAAGAACAGCGGCAGGUGUGAUGUGGAACCAGGUUAAACCUGAGACAAGCUGUGUGCUGAGGACUGCAGAGUUGGAGAAGCUGGACUACCCAGGCUUUUGGGUGCUGGUGGGACUGAUAUAGGGCUGAGCCCUGCACUAGUGCUUGGAAUUUUUAAAGAAACCUUGGACUUUUAGACUGCUGAAAAAAUUUAAAGACUUAAAUGUUUGACUGUGUUUUAAAUUAUGACAUUCACACAAGACUUUGGGGGACAAGGAAUUAAAUGGUUAUGCUUAAGGUG